rnacentral:rRNA from 1 species
GUGGGGAAUAUUGCGCAAUGGGCGAAAGCCUGACGCAGCAACGCCGCGUGGGGGAUGAAGGUUUUCGGAUUGUAAACCCCUUUCGAUCGGAACGAAUCUCCUCCUGGUAAACAAUCAGGAGGAUCGACGGUACCGAGAGAAGAAGCCACGGCUAACUCUGUGCCAGCAGCCGCGGUAAGACAGAGGUGGCAAGCGUUGUUCGGAUUUAUUGGGCGUAAAGCGCACGCAGGCGGUUUGGUAAGUCAGGGGUGAAAGCCCACAGCUUAACUGUGGGAUUGCCUCUGAUACUGCCUUUCUCGAGUGCAGGAGAGGGAAGCGGAAUUCCGAGUGUAGAGGUGAAAUUCGUAGAUAUUCGGAGGAACACCGGUGGCGAAGGCGGCUUCCUGGCCUGUAACUGACGCUCAGGUGCGAAAGCGUGGGGAGCAAACAGGAUUAGAUACCCCGGUAGUCC